rnacentral:rRNA from 1 species
UUGAAUGAAAGGUUGGAUGAGGAAACUACUGUCUCAAUUAAAGUUUUUUAGAAUUUUAUUAUUUUGUAAAAAGGCUAAAAUUAUUAUAAAAGACGAGAAGACCCUAUAGAGUUUUAUAAUUUAAAUAGAAAGAGUAAUUAGAAUAAAUUUCUUUAUUUGUUUAAAUUAUUUGGUUGGGGUGAUUGAAAAAUUUAAUUAACUUUUUUUGAAAGAUUACAUAGAUUUAUGGGUAUUUGAUCCUUAUUAAAGAUUAAAAGAAAAAAUUACCUUAGGGAUAACAGCGUUAUUUU